GGGUGAUCCAGGCUGGGCUUCGACGGGCACGGCUGUCCCUUCUCUCUCCAUCUCCCCAUAGCUGGCCUGUAACAGAAUGGAGCAUCAGUUCUGCUCUCUGAACAACGGCCCAGCCAUACCCACGCUAUCCACGAUGUCGGGCACUGGGACUACUAGCAUAGUACCUCGAGACCGCCUGCCCACCACAUCUGAAGGAAAAUGAGCUGAUUGGGGCACAAUGGAAUAGAUGGAAUGGAAAAUGUCGACAACCUGAUACAUGACUGUCUGCUGUGACCCACGCAACGGAUAAGAGGAAGGGAAGCGAGAAAGACUGUCCACAGGUGUUGGUCCUUCGGCUGAGUGACCAGAACUCCUUUAUUUGGGCCUGGGGGGUCAGGACUGUCUUUUACUAUAACCCGUACAAGACAAGGCUGCUCCCUACUGUCUGGCUUUAUUGGUAUUCACAAGGCGUCUGUGUGUGUACAGACAUGUUCCUACAUACAGUGGGGCAAAAAAGUGUUUAGUCAGCCACCAAUUGCAAGUUC
ensembl:lncRNA